rnacentral:rRNA from 1 species
GACGUAGGGGACGAGCGUUGUCCGGAUUCAUUGGGCGUAAAGCGCGCGUAGGCGGUUUUGCAAGUCGGUUGUGAAAAUCCCGGGCUCAACCCCGGACCUGCAUCCGAUACUGCGUGACUAGAGGUAGGGGGAGAUCGGAAUUCCUGGUGUAGCGGUGAAAUGCGCAGAUAUCAGGAGGAACACCGGUGGCGAAGGCGGCCUUCUGGACAGUGACUGACGCUGAGACGCGAAAGCGUGGGGAGCAAACAGG